GCGGCGGAUGGGCGGAUCCUGGGCAGGUUGGCUGGGUCGGGCUGCCCGGGCGACGCCGGAGUUGCAGUUGGAGGCUGCGGGAAUACAAAGUGACACUGACUGCCGGGUAACUGUCUCUCAGGACAUUUGUGCUUUGAGUCUCUGCAACUCUGGACCAUCUCUGCAGGCUAAAAGAUGUGCCUGUUGCUAAGAGGAGGAGCCCUGCAGCAGGAAUCCGGUGCCAGCUGACCUGGAACAACCUGAUCUCCAGAAAGCAUCCCUGUUAUACUCAAAUGGGCCUUCCAGAUGAGCCCUGUAAGGAUAUGCAUGAUAGCAAAAGCUCAGGACAGCCUUUUUAUGUUACUGUUGUUCUUAACUUUUGACUUACUCCCUUUAGGGAUCCAGCCUUUACUGUUGUUCUUAACUUUUGACUUAUUCUCUUUAGGGAUCCAGCCUUUCUUUGACUAUGAACCUAAACGUAAGAAAGAGAAGUUUCUUGACUCCCUAAAAACGAGUCAUAAUGCUUUCUGAAACUGAGUCUCUUCUGCUUCUGGAAACUGAGUCUUAGUGCAAAGAAAUCCCUCUGUAUUUUCUUGAUUUCCAUCUUGAUUCUCUAUUUUAAAGAUAAAAUAGCUGUUGCUUUGUGUCUGUGUAGAGUGUGGCAAAAAGAGAGGAAACAGAAAAAGAUAAAAGGACCAUCUCUCUCACUUUUAAAAUCUCUUUUCCUUAAGGUAUCCUUGAAUAUCUCUCUUCAUUAUGCCCUAAAACAUUUUCCCUGCAAUUGAUGCUAUCCAGCCAGUGUUUUUUUAGUAGCACCUAUAAUUCAAAUGCAUAUAAUCCAGAAUCCAGCCCUAACUUCACACCUGAGUUUCUAGACCAACUAAACAUCCCACAGGUACUUCAGGCUCACUAGAUCCAAGUCUAACUCAUUAUCUUUGUACCAAAACAGUAUUUUUUAAUUAAAAUUUUAAAAAAAAUAAUUAUAAAUAAAAAACACUGGCUCUAUUGGAACUGAGCCUGGCUAAUGACAUUGUCUUUUCCCACUCACCCAAACUAGGCAUUUAAAAAUCAAACUUGACUCCCCCACUCUGACUCUAUGCCAAUUCUAUCAGUCGCUGAGUCACUGUUUGACCCUACUCCAAGCUUUCCAAUCUUCUCAGGAACCAUGCUGAUAUCAAGACUGUGUCCUGUGGAAUAUCUAAUAUAUGUGACACCCGGAGGAGUCAUUUUUUAACACCUCCCUUCUCUAUACAACAAAAUUAUUUUCAAUAAUGGCCAUGAGUAUGAUGAUAAUUAUGUCUUUAUAAUACGUGUAAUUGACAAUAUCAUACAUAAUUAUGGAUUAUAUAUAUACACAAAUAAUGCUCAGAAAAACAAAGCAGUGAAAAUGUUCUAUUAAACUAUGUAUAAUCUUAUAUAUAAUUAUAUAAGUUUCUAAAAUAAAAGGAAAUGCCUACAACUAUUUUUUAUUAAUUUUUAUAUCCACCUAAAUGGCUGAACUUUGAUCCUUUGGUUACAGUCUGAUAUAUUAAUAUUUACGUAAAUGACAGUCCAAUAACUAGGUUUAAAUAAAACUAAAAUGUCUGCAGAAGUAUAGUUUAGGCAAUUACAUUUUAAAUUUUUUUAAAUGAGAUGGACUCUUGCUAUGAUGCGCAGGCUGAUCUCAAACUCCUGAGCUCAAGCCAUGCUCCCACCUCGGCCUCCAAAAGUGCUGGGAUUACAGGCAUGAGCCACUGCGCCCGACCUAAUUUAGGCAAUUACUAAUGUGAGAUUUUGUUUUCUUAUUUGUUCUUUUGUUUGAAGACAAAUAAUUAACAAUUAAAAAGAAUACAUUGCAAUUUUAAAAUGUUAUCAUAUUCAGAAAAUAUGUAUGAAAUAAAAUUUGCACUUAUAAAACAAAAAUAUUACACUUCAUAGUUGGCAAACAUUUUAAAUUUUAAAUUAAAAAAUUUUUAAAUUGUGAUUGAGUCACACUGAAUGGUGAAAUUAAAUGAAUUCAAAUCCUGUUUCUUCAUCUUUGCAAUCACUGUGCUAUCAUUGUUUCUUUCUAAUCUACAUAGAAAUAGGUCUCACCACAGGGGUUGAAGAUUCAACUGCACCCAAAGCAAGAUCCAGUGUUUCCAAACUGUUAGGAGCUCUUGAAAUGGAUGUGGGUAACCAAGGCUAUUGUGCCAAGGGUUCUGAGAAUCAACUUCCACAUCGAACAUUUAUCAAAAGGUAAAUAGCACAGGACAGAGGACCAGAAAAAAGAAAGUCACGCAGAGAAAGAAAUCAGGAGACCUUGCAUUUGUAACUUGACUAUACAUUUGCAAUAUACUCCCUACUUUGAACAACUUAGAAAAAAACAUUUCUUUCUUACAAACACAGUUUCCUCCUGAAAGGAAUUUUGAUGUAUUCUAUUUUCUGAUGUCUUACUAUUUUGGAUGUGUAUCCACGUUAUAGGCAACGAGAUGUUUUGUUUAUAAAUAAAUGUAGAAGAAAAAUAGAUGUUUUUUAGAAGCAAAUUCUGGUUCUUGUUAUAUCUUCUGAAACUUCCAAAUCCAAUUUUGUUAUGCAUUGCCACCAUGAUGCUAUUACUUCAGUAGAACAGGAUGUCCUCAAAGAGUGAAAUGGUUACGAUGAGUCUAGAAUGACCUGGAGGUGCCAGAUUAUGGGCCUUAACUCCUAGCAUUUCUCAAGUAGUUACUACAUGUCCAAGACUUUGCUAAGGGAUUUGCAAAUUCUAACUUAUUUUUAAAUUCCAUAACAGCUCUGAGAUAAGUGCUGUAGUUAAACAUAAUUUUAAAGAUGAGGAUGCCAAGAAUUCAAGAGAUCAAAUGAGUUACCUAAAGUUACACCUAAGAAGAGCAGGAAAGCUGAGACCAGAGCUGAGGCCAUCUGGCUGGAGAGCCUGAGCUCUUAGCCAUCAUAUUACACCGACUUUCUGUUCCAGAUAUGCCAGCUACUUCUAUCUUUAUAUCAGUAUCUCCUAGGCAGCAAUUUUAUACUCUGGCCUUUUGUCAUUUUUACAGAAGCACUAAUAAUGAUGCACAAAAUUAUUUUGUGUAAAAAAAUUAAAAUUUUUGUUUUUAAUAGUUUUUGUAGAAUCUAUUAAAAUAUUAAUAUUCAUAGUUCAUAAGAAAAUAUUAAUAGUUAUUUCAUAAUAGCUUAAGUAACUAUUGAACAAAAGUUAAAAAUUUAUUAGAAGUAAAUAUCAAUGGUAUAAAUCAAAUUAUUUAAUCUUUAUGCACAAAUAUUACUUAUCGCUAAAAUGAAACUGGGUUCAGCAUUAUCUAUUUUUCAUUUUGAUAGAAUUAAGUACUGACAAAACUUGCUGACAAAUAGAAAUGGAAAGGUUCUUGGUUAUAAUAAAGCUACUCAACUCGUACUCCUCACAAAAUAUGUUAAAAAAUAACAUAGUGAACCACAACAAAUAUAAUUUUUGCUAACAGCUUUGUUGAGCUAUAAUUAACAUACCAUAAAUAAUGCAUAAAAUUCAUUGGUCUUUGUUCACAGAGUCAUGCGACCAUCGCAACUACAUAAUUCAAAGAAAAAUUUUAUCACCCAAAAAAGAAACUCUGUACCUAUUAGCAGUCAUUCUUCAUUCUCCCUACCCGUGGAAAUCACUAAUCUACUUUCUGUCUCUAUAGAUUUGCCUAUUCUGGACAUUUUAUAUAAAUCAAAUCAUGCAAUAGAUGGCCUUUUGCUUUUGGCUUCUUUUACUUAGCAUAAUGUUUUCAAAGUUCAUCCAUGGUGUAGCGUGUACCAAUACUUCAUUCAUUUUUAUGGAAUGGAUACACUACAUUUGUUUAUGCAAUUUACGAACCGAUGGACAUACGGGUUGUUUCCACUUCUGUGCUAUUAUGCAAAGUGCUGCUAUGAAAAUUACCCAUUUUUUUGUGUAAAUAUAUGUUUUCUGUUCUCUUGAGUAUAUACCUAAGAGUGGAAUUGCUGGCUUGUAUGGUAACCUUAUGCUUAACUUUUUGAAGAACUACGAAACUGUUUUCCAAAGUAGCUGCACAAUUUUUUUUUUUUUUAGACGGAGUCCCGCUCUUUCGCCCAGGUUGGAGUGCAGUGGCGCGAUCUCGGCUCACUGCAAGCUCUGCCUCCCGGGUUCACGCCAUUCUCCUGCCUCAGCCUCCGGAGUAGCUGGGACUACAGGCGCCCGCCACAGCGCCCGGCUAAUUUUUUGUAUUUUUAGUAGAGACGGGGUUUCACCGUGUUAGCCAGGAUGAUCUCGAUCUCCUGACCUCGUGAUCUGCCCGCCUCGGCCUCCCAAAGUGCUGGAAUUACAGGUGUGAGCCACCGCGCCCAGCCUAGUAGCUGCACAAUUUUACAUUUUUACCAGGAAUAUAUGAGGGUUUCAAUUUAUCCACAUCCUCAGCAACACUUCGUGGCCUGUCUUUUUAUUAUAGCCAUUCUUGUGGGUGUAAAGUAGAAUCUCAAUGUGGCACUGAUUUGCAUUUCUUUAAUGACUAAUGAUAUUGGACAUCUUUUCGUGUGCUUACUAUCCAUUUGCAUAUUUCCUUUACCAAAAUGUCUAUUGUGAUAACAUUUCCUACUUUAAAAAUUGGUUAUGUUUUUUAUUACUGAGUUGUAAGUAUUCUUUAUGUAUUAUGGGUACAAAUUCAUUAUCGGAUGUAUGAUUUAAAA
ensembl:lncRNA FRMD3-AS1 FRMD3 antisense RNA 1